CCUACGGGUGGCAGCAGUGGGGAAUAUUGGGCAAUGGACGCAAGUCUGACCCAGCAACGCCGCGUGAAGGAAGACGGCUUUCGGGGUGUAAACUUCUUUUAAGGAGGAAGUGCAGAAGACGAUACCCCUUGAAUAAGCCACGGCUAACUACGUGCCAGCAGCCGCGGUAAUACGGAGGUGGCAAGCGUUGUCCGGAUUUACUGGGUGUAAAGGGCGUGUAGGCGGGCUUGUAAGUCAGAAGUGAAAUCUGGGGGCUUAACCCCCAAACUGCUUUUGAAACUGCGGGUCUUGAGUGAUGGAGAGGCAGGCGGAAUUCCCAGUGUAGCGGUGAAAUGCGUAGAUAUUGGGAGGAACACCAGUGGCGAAGGCGGCCUGCUGGACAUUAACUGACGCUGAGGCGCGAAAGCGUGGGGAGCAAACAGGAUUAGAUACCCCUGUAGUC
rnacentral:rRNA from 1 species